GGGGGAGAUGGGGGCUGGGAGAGAACAAACUCAGAUGCAGCCAAAAUGAAUGACAAUGCUCAAGCAAGAAAUGUCAUAAAAAAUUUUAAUUUGAAAAUGUUUAGAUGAAACAAAUGAUUAUGGAAACCACAAAGGCAUUUUCUCAAGGAGACAUUGGUGAUGGGUCCCCAUCUUGAUCAUAAAAGGAAUAAGAAUAACCCGGUAGGCAGCAUCCUUUUGUUAAUAGCUUUCACACAUUCAUUUUCUUUCUUACAUUCAUAAUGCUGGAAUACCCACUUUUUACUAAGAUAAGAUGCAAGAACUAUUUCCUGGGAUUUUAAUUAUGGAUAGACAAUAAAAUUUAUGCUGUUACUCGAGGUCAAAAUUAAUUCUUUUGCUUAGACUGGAGGUGAAAUUUGGUUACCCUUUUUUG
rnacentral:misc_RNA from 1 species